UACGAAGGGGGCUAGCGUUGUUCGGAUUUACUGGGCGUAAAGCGCACGUAGGCGGAUCGUUAAGUCGGGGGUGAAAUCCUGGAGCUCAACUCCAGAACUGCCUUCGAUACUGGCGAUCUUGAGUCCGGAAGAGGUGAGUGGAACCCCUAGUGUAGAGGUGGAAUUCGUAGAUAUUAGGAAGAACACCAGUGGCGAAGGCGGCGACCUGGACGGACAUUGACGCUGAGACGCGAAAGCGUGGGGAGCAAACAGG
rnacentral:rRNA from 1 species